rnacentral:pre_miRNA from 1 species
GCCUUAAAUUUCUACAGCAGCAAAUAAUGAUUCGCACCUUUAGCACAGCAUGCAAACCAUGAUGUGCUGCUACAGCACUUUAAGGC